rnacentral:rRNA from 1 species
UACAGAGGUCUCAAGCGUUGUUCGGAUUCAUUGGGCGUAAAGGGUGCGUAGGCGGCGCGGUAAGUCGGGUGUGAAAUCUUGGAGCUUAACUCCGAAACUGCAUUCGAUACUGCCGUGCUUGAGGACUGGAGAGGAGACUGGAAUUUACGGUGUAGCGGUGAGAUGCGUAGAUAUCGUAAGGAAGACCAGUGGCGAAGGCGGGUCUCUGGGCCACUACUGACGCUGAGAAGCGAAAGCAUGGGGAGCGAACAGG